AGAGUCAAAUAGAUAAGAAUCGAAUCAUGGACGCGUUUAUAUUCCUACUCGACUAAAUAACCUAAUAUUAUGUUCUUAUAAACUUAUUCAUGUAGUGUGCUAUGACAGCAGCGUAACACCGCCGGUAUGAGAUUAUAUUUUCCGUUUUUUAUUUCUUGCCAUCACAUGUUUACAAAAUUUGUUCUCACAGUUUUGGAAAUAACCAAUCGAAAAAUCCUAUUGUUGUAGUAUUCGACAAACGCGCAUUCAGGGUAACUUACGCGAACCGUGAAACACAUUAUUUACCAGAUGUGUAGGGUGGAAAAAAAUAUAAUCUAAAAGAAAAAUGUAUUAUAUUAUUACAUUAUUACUGUAGGUACCUACAGGUAUGCUGCAGUCGAUGUACACCCUCUUUCGUGAUCCCUCCAGGCAGACAUAUGUAUACGGAAAAAUAAUAAAAUACCACCGUCUAUGCACCUGUCCUUUUUUUUUCUUUCCUAAAGGACAAUAAUAAGACGUUUUUAUGAACGUCGUAGUAUGUACGAUGUACCGCCAGUCAUUUUUUCCCGUCCAAAUCUGUAUACUAUUUAUUUUUUUUUUCUCGAGAUUUUAAGAUGAUUGAGAUUUCGGCGUUUGGUCGUACCUAUAUAAUUAUGCCUUUUUUCCCCUUUGAGUGACACGACCGAUGGGAGUGAUUGGUUAAAGGAUGAUGUAUAUUUCCAUUUUG